rnacentral:rRNA from 1 species
UACGUAGGGUGCGAGCGUUAAUCGGAAUUACUGGGCGUAAAGCGUGCGCAGGCGGUUCGUUAAGUUCGUUGUGAAAGCCCCGGGCUCAACCUGGGAACUGCAAUGGAAACUGGCGGCUUGAGUAUGGCAGAGGGGGUGGAAUUCCGCGUGUAGCAGUGAAAUGCGUAGAGAUGCGGAGGAACACCGAUGGCGAAGGCAGCCCCCUGGGCCGAAUACUGACGCUCGAGGCACGAAAGCGUGGGGAGCGAACAGG